GGAGGGGGAUAACUACUGGAAACGGUAGCUAAUACCGCAUAACGUCGCAAGACCAAAGAGGGGGACCUUCGGGCCUCUUGCCAUCGGAUGUGCCCAGAUGGGAUUAGCUUGUUGGUGGGGUAACGGCUCACCUAGGCGACGAUCCCUAGCUGGUCUGAGAGGAUGACCAGCCACACUGGAACUGAGACACGGUCCAGACUCCUACGGGAGGCAGCAGUGGGGAAUAUUGCACAAUGGGCGCAAGCCUGAUGCAGCCAUGCCGCGUGUAUGAAGAAGGCCUUCGGGUUGUAAAGUACUUUCAGCGGGGAGGAAGGGAGUAAAGUUAAUACCUUUGCUCAUUGACGUUACCCGCAGAAGAAGCACCGGCUAACUCCGUGCCAGCAGCCGCGGUAAUACGGAGGGUGCAAGCGUUAAUCGGAAUUACUGGGCGUAAAGCGCACGCAGGCGGUUUGUUAAGUCAGAUGUGAAAUCCCCCGG
rnacentral:rRNA from 1 species